AUGGCGUCGUCACCUCCGUACCGGUUCCCCGCACUCUGCGAGGAGGAGCCGACGCGACGCUCCGCCAGGCAGUCAUGCGGGACAUGCAGCGCGGCGGCGGUGGCCAACUGCGUGGCACUGUGCUGCUGCCCGUGCGCCGUGGUGAGCUGCUUCACGCUGGCGCUCGUCAAGGCGCCCUACGUGGCAGGCCGGCGAUGGGUCAGGCGCGCCAAGACGCGGCGUGUCAGCAGGGGCGUGCUGCGGAAGACGAGCCGCGUCCGGGACUUGGACGACCAGCUGUACCAGGCGGAGGGGCUGGGCGGCAGUGGCGGCGCCGCGCGGGCGAGCAAGGAGGACGACUGGGGCGGGCUGGGCAGGGCUGCCGCCUCGGGCUGGUGGGAGAACACCAACGAUGUAAAUUUGCUCGGGGAUGGCAGGAUGAGGGUGAGCGUGACGGAGAAGGCGUGGAUGGAGAUGUACGACGUCGGCCACUGGGGCUUCGGCCGGCUGUCCUUCUCGCUGGCCAGAGACGCCGCGCCCGCCGCGCAGGUGGUCAGGCACGACCCAGAGCCCCAAGAAGAUGGCACUGUUGCUGCGGGGCGGUGA
rnacentral:rRNA from 1 species